GGUUUUAAAGUGGCUGCAACUCCUCUUCAAGCCUUGCUGUGCCCUACAGUGUGAUUUCCAUGCUAUUCCCACCAACAGAGGAACUUUGUGCUACUUCUUUUCCAAUCUUGGCCCAAGAGCAUGAUGGAACUGAGCAUGUGUGAUGUCUGAGUACCAAGCCACCAAAGGGUUUGGGCCCUUAGUGGCAUGGGUACCAUGAUGAGAGUGCAUACCGAAGAAGGCUUGGCAUCUCAUAGCAGCCAGGGAAUAAUAAAGAUGGGAGGGGUCAGAGUUCCAGAACCUCCUUCAAGGACCCCUCUUCCAACGAUCUCACCGCCUCCUAUGCAUUUCACACCCCAUAGC
rnacentral:lncRNA from 1 species